rnacentral:rRNA from 1 species
UACAGAGGUCUCAAGCGUUGUUCGGAUUCUUUGGGCGUAAAGGGUGUGUAGGUGGCGCCGUAAGUCGGGUGUGAAAUUUCGGAGCUUAACUCCGAAACUGCAUUCGAUACUGCGGUGCUUGAGGACUGGAGAGGAGACUGGAAUUCAUGGUGUAGCAGUGAAAUGCGUAGAUAUCGUAAGGAAGACCAGUGGCGAAGGCGGGUCUCUGGACAGUUCCUGACGCUGAGGCACGAAGGUCAGGGGAGCAAACGGG